rnacentral:rRNA from 1 species
GGACUACCCGGGUAUCUAAUCCCGUUCGCUCCCCUAGCUUUCGCCCCUCAGCGUCAGGUACCAGCCAGGACACUGCCUGCGCCUUUGGUGUUCUUCCGGAUAUCUACGCAUUUCACCACUACACCCGGAGUUCCAUGUCCCUCUCUGGUCCUCUAGUCCGCCCGUCUUCGCACCGCUCUCCCAGUUAAGCCAGGAGCUGUCAGCACAAACGCGGCAGACCGCCUGCGGGCCCUUUACGCCCAGUAACUCCGGACAACGCUCGUCCCCUACGUAUUACCGCGGCUGCUGGCAC